UGCAAAUAUGCAGGGAUUUUUUUACCUUAUUACAAGGUGAACCGGAAGCAGUAUUUCUUUUUUUUUUCCGCGAUUAGCACGUCUUUAGCACAACAGUAGCAGAUUCGGUUGGCAGGAGUUUUAAGACUAGACGAGAUGGUGUCUCUCGAGCCUUAUGGAAAUUUAAUAAGAGAAAUGAUAGCGCAAAAUCUCUCACACGCGGACAUUUCCACAAAUUUAUUACAAUUAGGUGUGCAGCAAGGAUGUUCUGAAAUGAGUGUCGGGAGAUUUUGUGCACAUCACAACAUUUCCAGGAGGGGACAUGUAUCCGACACAAAAUUAGAGGUUGCUAUCAGCAGGGCAAUAAAUCAGACAGGGUCAAGAUUGGCAUAACAAGAGCUGUACUUGCAUGGAAUGCACACAGAAUCCCAGGCAAAGGAACACCCAAUCGUUUCAAUCCAAUCGCAGAAGGAGGAUGUCCAAAAAAACUAGGAGAGGACUUGUUGCCCCAUGCCUCCCAAGCAGCAGACAUGUACCAGCAGGAUGUUGGCUCUUCACUGACAAGAGUCUCCUGCUUUGGAACGGACCCCUUCUCAACUGAGGACGACAAAAUAUCAGCAGAACAAUGUUUUGCUGAGGAGUACCCUGAUAUUUCAGUUUUAUUAGACAACGUGGUAAACUAUAACUUUGUACCUUUUCAGGAUGCAUUGCUCUAUCUGAUAAACAUUACGCAACAAUAUGCAUGAAAAUGUCAAAUAAAGACAAGUUGGUUCUAGA